rfam:Hordeum vulgare subsp. vulgare, WGS project CAJW01000000 data, contig: morex_contig_75396
UUAAUACCCCCUCCUUCCCGAAUUACCUGUCGCAGAAAUAAUGUAUCUAGACAUAUUAUUAGUUCUAGAUACAUCCCUCUCUAUCCGUUUUUGCGGCAAGUAAUUCAGGACGGAGGGAGUACUAA